rnacentral:rRNA from 1 species
GAGUUUGAUCCUGGCUCAGGACGAACGCUGGCGGCAUGCCUAAUACAUGCAAGUCGAACGCACGAAGUUGAAAAGCUUGCUUUUCGACCAAGUGAGUGGCGGACGGGUGAGUAACACGUGGGUAACCUGCCCAUAAGAGGGGGAUAACAUUCGGAAACGGAUGCCAAUACCGCAUAUUUCAAGUGACCGCAUGGUCGCUUGAUGAAAGGUGGCUUCGGCUACCACUUAUGGAUGGACCCGCGGUGCAUUAGUUAGUUGGUGAGGUAAUGGCUCACCAAGACCAUGAUGCAUAGCCGACCUGAGAGGGUGAUCGGCCACACUGGGACUGAGACACGGCCCAGACUCCUACGGGAGGCAGCAGUAGGGAAUCUUCCGCAAUGGACGAAAGUCUGACGGAGCAAUGCCGCGUGAGUGAAGAAGGUUUUCGGAUCGUAAAACUCUGUUGUUAGAGAAGAACAAGGAUGAGAGUAACUGCUCAUCCCCUGACGGUAUCUAACCAGAAAGCCACGGCUAACUACGUGCCAGCAGCCGCGGUAAUACGUAGGUGGCAAGUGUUGUCCGGAUUUAUUGGGCGUAAAGCGAGCGCAGGCGGUUCUUUAAGUCUGAUGUGAAAGCCCCCGACUCAACCGGGGAGGGUCAUUGGAAACUGGAGAACUUGAGUGCAGAAGAGGAGAGUGGAAUUCCAUGUGUAGCGGUGAAAUGCGUAGAUAUAUGGAGGAACACCAGUGGCGAAGGCGACUCUCUGGUCUGAAACUGACGCUGAGGCUCGAAAGCGUGGGGAGCAAACAGGAUUAGAUAC